GACGAACGCUGGCGGCGUGCCUAAUACAUGCACGUCGAACGCAGUGGGGACGGGUGAGUAACACGUGGGUAACCUCCCAUCAGAGGGGAUAACACUUGGAAACAGGUGCUAAACCGAUACUGAUGGAUGAACCCGCGGUGCAUUAGCUAGUUGGUGAGGUAACGGCUCACCAAGGCCACGAUGCAUAGCCGCCCGGCGGGGGUGAUGGGCCACACUGGGACUGAGACACGGCCCAGGCUCCUACGGGAGGCAGCAGUAGGGAAUAUGCGGUGAUAGACGAAAGUCUGACCGAGCAACGCCGCGUGAGUGAAGAAGGUUUGCGGAUCGUAAAACUCUGUUGUUAGAGAAGCGGUAUCUAACCAGAAAGCCACGGCUAACUACGUGCCAGCCGCCGCGGUAAUAC
rnacentral:rRNA from 1 species